rnacentral:rRNA from 1 species
GGAGUUAGCCGGUGCUUCUUCUGCGAGUAACGUCACAGAUGUAAGGUAUUAACUUACACCCUUUCCUCCUCGCUGAAAGUGCUUUACAACCCGAAGGCCUUCUUCACACACGCGGCAUGGCUGCAUCAGGGUUUCCCCCAUUGUGCAAUAUUCCCCACUGCUGCCUCCCGUAGGAGUCUGGGCCGUGUCUCAGUCCCAGUGUGGCUGAUCAUCCUCUCAGACCAGCUAGGGAUCGUCGCCUAGGUGAGCCUUUACCUCACCUACUAGCUAAUCCCACCUGGGCUUAUCCAUCAGCGCAAGGCCCGAAGGUCCCCUGCUUUCCCCCGUAGGGCGUAUGCGGUAUUAGCAGUCGUUUCCAACUGUUAUCCCCCACAAAUGGGCAAAUUCCCAGGCAUUACUCACCCGUCCGCCGCUCGUCAUCUUCAAAAGCAAGCUUUUGAAAUGUUAACCGCUCGACUUGCAUGUGUUAGGCCUGCCGCCAGCGUUCAAUCUGAGCCAUAAUCAAACUCUGA